UAUAUGAUCUUUUCUCAAGCUGAUGGAUUCGUAAUGUGUGUAAGACUAAAAUAUUGGGGGGCCAUCAUAUAUAUAAAUAUAUAGAUAAUAAAUAUUUUAAAAUUUCUUUUGGGGAGUGGGGGCAGUGGCCCCCCAUGGUCUCUCUUAUGCUUCGCCACUGCCUAGGCUAAUUCAAGUCCGAUAAUGAAACACCAAAAUGUAUUAGAACAUUCAAAUGAUGAUGGUAAUUAUUGUUAUAUUAAACAAGAGAUUCCAUCUCAAUUUGUGAAGAAAUGUGUCACGGCC
rnacentral:lncRNA from 1 species